rnacentral:rRNA from 1 species
CCUACGGGAGGCAGCAGUGGGGAAUUUUGGACAAUGGGCGCAAGCCUGAUCCAGCCAUGCCGCGUGUGGGAAGAAGGCCUUCGGGUUGUAAACCACUUUUGUCAGGGAAGAAACGGUCUGAACUAAUACUUUGGACUAAUGACGGUACCUGAAGAAUAAGCACCGGCUAACUACGUGCCAGCAGCCGCGGUAAUACGUAGGGUGCAAGCGUUAAUCGGAAUUACUGGGCGUAAAGCGUGCGCAGGCGGCUUUGCAAGACAGAUGUGAAAUCCCCGGGCUCAACCUGGGAACUGCAUUUGUGACUGCAUGGCUAGAGUACGGUAGAGGGGGGAUGGAAUUCCGCGUGUAGCAGUGAAAUGCGUAGAUAUGCGGAGGAACACCGAUGGCGAAGGCAAUCCCCUGGACCUGUACUGACGCUCAUGCACGAAAGCGUGGGGAGCAAACAGGAUUAGAUACCCUGGUAGUCCACGCCCUAAACGAUGUCAACUGGUUGUUGGGAGGGUUUCUUCUCAGUAACGAAGCUAACGCGUGAAGUUGACCGCCUGGGGAGUACGGCCGCAAGGUUGAAACGUCAAAGGAAUUGACGG